rnacentral:rRNA from 1 species
AGGACGAACGCUGGCGGCGUGCUUAACACAUGCAAGUCAAGGGGGCCCAGCAAUGGGCAACCGGCGAACGGGUGCGUAACACGUGAGCAACCUACCGAAAUGUGGGGGAUAGCCGGCCUAACGGCCGAGUAAUACCGCAUACGCUCUCGAUGAGGCAUUUCAUUGAGAGGAAACCUACGGGACAUUUCGAGGGGCUCGCGGCCUAUCAGCUAGUUGGCGAGGUAACGGCUCACCAAGGCAACGACGGUAGCUGGUCUGAGAGGAUGGCCAGCCACAUUGGGACUGAGAUACGGCCCAGACU